AAGGUACUGUACGAAUGAUGCUACUGGCUAAACUGCAGUCACCUAGCAGUCUGCAGUAAUGCGAGAGGGGUGCUAGCGUUACUCCGGAUUUAAUCGGGUAUAAAGCGUCCGUAGGGCGGAUCCGUAAGUCAGUGGUGAAAUCUCAUAGCUUAACUAUGAAUCUGCCAUUGAUACUGCGGGUCUUGAGUAAGGUAGAAGUAGCUGGAAUAAGUAGUGUAGCGGUGAAAUGCAUAGAUAUUACUUAGAACCCCAAUUUCGAAGGCAGGUUACUAUGUCUUAUCUGACGCUGAUGGACGAAAGCGUGGGGAGCGAACAGGAUUAGAUACCCUGGUAGUCCACGCCGUAAACGAUGCUAACUCGUUCUUGGGUUUUCGGAUUCAGAGACUAAGCGAAAGUGAUAAGUUAGCCCCCUGGGGAGUUCGAACGCAAGUUUGAAACUCAAAGGAAUUGACGGGGGCCCGCACAAGCGGUGGAUUAUGUGGUUUAAUUCGAUGAUACGCGAGGAACCUUACCAAGACUUAAAUGGGAAUUGAUCGGUUUAGAAAUAGACCUUCCUUCGGGCAAUUUUCAAGGUGCUGCAUGGUUGUCGUCAGCUCGUUCCGUGAGGUGUUAGGUUAAGUCCUGCAACGAGCGCAACCCCUGUCACUAGUUGCCAUCAUUAAGUUGGGGACUCUAGUGAGCCUCCCUACGCAAGUAGAGAGGAAGGUGGGGAUGACGUCAAAUCAUCACGGCCCUUACGUCUUGGGCCACACCCGUAAUACAAUGGCCGGUACAGAGGGCAGCUACACAGCGAUGUGAUGCAAAUCUCGAAAGCCGGUCUCAGUUCGGAUUGGAGUCUGCAACUCGACUCUAUGAAGCUGGAAUCGCUAGUAAUCGCGCAUCAGCCAUGGCGCGGUGAAUACGUUCCCGGGCCUUGUACACACCGCCCGUCAAGCCAUGGAAGUCUGGGGUACCUGAAGUCGGUGACCGUAACAGGAGCUGCCUAGGUACCCAGAUUGCA
rnacentral:rRNA from 1 species